rnacentral:rRNA from 1 species
GUUUGAUCCUGGCUCAGAUUGAACGCUGGCGGUAUGCCUAACACAUGCAAGUCGAACGAGGUAGCAAUACCUAGUGGCGGACGGGUGAGGAAUACGUAGGGAUCUGCCUUUAAGUGGGGGAUAACCCGGGGAAACCCGGAUUAAUACCGCAUGAUCUCGCAAGAGCAAAGUGGGGGAUCGCAAGACCUCACGCUUUUAGAGGAACCUACGUCGGAUUAGCUUGUUGGUGAGGUAAUGGCUCACCAAGGCGACGAUCAG